rnacentral:lncRNA from 1 species
CAUAUGAUGUUGAAGAGGAUGAUUUGUCUCUUGAUUUGCCCCUUGAUGCUUGUUUGGAUCCGUUUGUGGAUCCAUAGCUUGUUGAAUGUGAAUGUGCGGAUCAUUUUUACAAGAUUCCUAUUUUUUUGUGGUGAAAGAAUUGACUAGAACUAUGUCUGUAAUUAUUUUGUUAGUUAACUUCUUUACUUCCCAAGUAUAAUUAAACUAUUU